rnacentral:tRNA from 1 species
AAAUUUGUACCUUUUGUAUCAGGGAUUUUUUAUAUAAAUAUAGUAUAAAUUGUAUUUCGAAGUUA